CGAAAGUAAAAUUUCGUGGAGGUCCGAACCCACGAGCGUUGAAAAGCUCGGGGAUGACUUGUGGGUAGCGGUGAAAUUCCAAUCGAGCCCGGAGAUAGCUGGUUCUCCCCGAAAUAGCUUUAGGGCUAGCCUCAAGGUGAGAGAUACGGAGGUAGAGCACUGAAUGUCCUAGGGGGUAUUGCACCUACCGAAGACUAUCAAACUCCGAAUGCCGUCAUCUUAUACUUGGGAGUCAGACUGUGGGUGAUAAGAUUCAUAGUCGAAAGGGCAACAGCCCAGAUCGUCAGCUAAGGUCCCUAAAUGUAAGUUAAGUGGUAAAGGAUGUGGGAUUGCACAGACAACCAGGAUGUUGGCUUAGAAGCAGCCACUCAUUCAAAGAGUGCGUAAUAGCUCACUGGUCGAGUGAUCCUGCGCCGAAGAUUUCCGGGGCUAAAACUUACUACCGAAGCUACGGCAUCAGUAAUGAUGGGUAGGGGAGCUUCCCAUACGGGUUGAAGCAUGACCGUAAGGACAUGUGGACAGUAUGGGAGUGAGAAUGUUGGCAUGAGUAGCGAGAUGUGGGUGAGAAUCCCACAGGCCGUAAACCCAAGGUUUCCAGGGGAAGGUUCGUCCGCCCUGGGUUAGUCGGGACCUAAGCUGAGGCCGAAAGGCGUAGGUGAUGGACAACAGGUUGAUAUUCCUGUAC
rnacentral:rRNA from 1 species